GACGAACGCUGGCGGCGUGCUUAACACAUGCAAGUCAAACGAUGAACUGAGAGCUUGCUCUUGGGGAUUAGUGGCGAACGGGUGAGUAACACGUGAGUAACCUGCCCUGGACUCUGGGAUAACCCCGAGAAAUCGGAGCUAAUACCGGAUAGGACCUUGCACCGCAUGGUGUGGGGUGGAAAGUUUUUUCGGUUUGGGAUGGACUCGCGGCCUAUCAGCUUGUUGGUGAGGUAAUGGCUCACCAAGGCGUCGACGGGUAGCCGGCCUGGGAGGGUGCCCGGCCAAACUAGGACUGCGACACGGCCCAGACUCCUCCGGGAGGCAGCAGUGGGUAAUAUUGCACAAUGGGCGCAAGCCGGAUGCAGCAACGCCGCGUGCGGGAUGACGGCCUUCGGGUUGUAAACCGCUUUUAGUAAGGAAGAAGGGGAGCUUGCUCCUUGACGGUACUUUCAGAAAAAGGACCGGCUAACUACGUGCCAGCCGCCGCCGUAAAAC
rnacentral:rRNA from 1 species